rnacentral:rRNA from 1 species
AUUGAACGCUGGCGGCAGGCCUAACACAUGCAAGUCGAGCGGAUGAAGGGAGCUUGCUCCUGGAUUCAGGGGCGGACGGGUGAGUAAUGCCGAGGAAUCUGGCUGGUAGUGGGGGAUAAGGUCCGGAAACGGGGGCUAAUACGGCAAACGUCCUGAGGGAGAAAGGGGGGGAUCUUCGGACCUCACGCUAUCAGAUGAGCCUAGGUCGGAUUAGCGAGUUGGUGGGGUAAAGGCCUACCAAGGCGACGAUCCGUAACUGGUCUGAGAGGAUGAGCAGUCACACUGGAACUGAGACACGGUCCAGACUCCUACGGGAGGCAGCAGUGGGGAAUAUUGGACAAUGGGCGAAAGCCUGAUCCAGCCAUGCCGCGUGUGUGAAGAAGGUCUUCGGAUUGUAAAGCACUUUAAGUUGGGAGGAAGGGCAGUAAGUUAAUACCUUGCUGUUUUGACGUUACCAACAGAAUAAGCACCGGCUAACUUCGUG